rnacentral:lncRNA from 1 species
AUUGAGGUGAGCUAUUCCAAAAACACCUACAUAAUGCUAGGCUUCAGUGUGCCCCUACAUAACCGUUCCGUUUACAGGUGUAGAGGAAAAGUGAUAAGUAUGAACCCAUACAUAAUCGUUCUAUUUUUGGGUGUAUGGAAAAGUGUUAAGUGUUAAGUGUGUGCCUAGCAUGCAUGGCAGUAGAAAGAUAUGAAUGGCCCUUCAUAACAAUGAUGAAGUGGAGCUCAUUGUACAAUGUAGCAAAGUGAAUCUAUUUUCUGAUUAUGG